GGUGGAGCUGCGCAGGGAAACGUCGGAUGUGGUUAGCUGUGAAGGUGGAAAUUCUUCCUGCCAUGAAACACACUGUUCUCUCAAGACACGACAAGGCAUUCUUCAUUAAAUAGAGUGUGAUUGUGUCGUUCAGAGAGGAGCUACAUCAUUCUGCCUCUUCCUGAGCAUGAUUUGAAUGUCGGGAUCAGCCCAAGACAAUGCAAGAACACAAGCCAUGAAAUCAAGAAUCUAGGAAAAAAGAAGUGUCUUACCUCCGUUUUUUUUCUAGCAAGGGGUUCUGCCUUAUACGGUCUGGGGUAGAGCUGUUUCUUGUGUUCAUAGCAACAUCUGUCCGGUCACUGUCAUUCAUGUCAAGUAGCAGAGCAAUUUGCUGAUUCACUCAAAAGAGACACAGAAUGAGACUUUUUUCAUGGAAGCCUUUUUUUCCCUCCUAUGCUGGCAGACCUAACUCCUGGCUUUGUACUCUCCGGGACAGUCACUUAAUGAGCAGUCAGUGAAUCAAUCCUUACAAGACACACAGACUGAAAUGUUCAAAUGCAACUACCUGAACGUGAAUCGAAGGCACUGAUGGGAGAAUGCAACAACCCUUUGCACAGUGCCCGGCGUCAGUCUUAUGCUUGCUUAUCUCACGGGAAAGUCACACUGUGGAUUUGAAUUCACUAUUUAAUCUAAAUACUCUCAGUGAGACACUGGCUGUCAGAAGUGACUUUGUAAAUCAGUCUACGGGAGAUCGGAAAGGGGAGAAAUAGAUGACAACAAGGAGACGUCUUGAAGGAAGAACUAGGAAACAGCAGAAUGGUUGGAUGUUGGGGAUCCUCCACCUGUACCAGUCAGAAUUCCCUGGCCUCGAGUCUGUCUGUGCUUCAUGAACUAAGCAAAAAAAAAAAAAAAAAAAAGGAAUUAAAAGACAAGGUGAAAAAAAAAAAAGGCAAAAAAAGCAAAAUGUCAGUAUAAGACUUCUUCACCUAAAUCAGAAAAUGCGGUUCUGAAGAGCCCACAGGAAGCUAGUAGACAAGGAGCAGUGGUGGAAUCUUAAUAGAAUUUAGCUGACAAAUGUGGAAGAGUGGCAUGAAUCAAUCAGAGAUUUACAGUUUGGCCAGGUUGGAUGGUUUCCCAGAAGGGUACUGAAAAGAACUUGAAGGCCAUGCAGCUUCUUUCUUUCUCAACUGUGAUUGCAUGACAGUUUAGUGGCUUCUGCCAAGAUGAAAAGGCAUGCAGGCAUCUUAAUAAAGUAGCUAAUGAGCAGAAUUUCUUUUGUUGAUGAAUAAAUGGUUUUUCCUACCUCAUUAUUUUAAAUGUGAGGACUGUGUUCAGUUUGGAGUGUGUUUUUAAACCAGCCUGAUGGACUUGCUUGACAUGGACAGCUCAAAUGGUUUCGUUUUGGCAAACUGGCAACCAGCUGAAAAUGUGAUCUUCUGCUGGUCACAGAGCAACAAGUGGUCUUGUGUGAGUGCAUACGAGUGGAUGAGGCUGUGAUUUGAACGAAGAGCUGAACAGCCAUGUGCCUGCAUCUGAAAGAGAGCACAGCUGGGCAAUGAUAGUGCAGAAGGAAGGCUCUAGAGACUCUUCUCAUUAAAGUAUCUCUGAUUGUCAAAGAGAACUGUUCGUUUGUUCUGUGAAUACUACCAUGCGUUACAGGUCUUGCUGUUUCCAAAGGCGAGUGGUGGUAUAUGGAAUGAAGGCACCAUAGCUGCAAACAGACUGGCAGUGAAAAUCUGAAUUUCGGACAGGACUUUCUAAGAAAUGUAUGUCCACACUGGUCUGCGGAGUCUUUCUGAAAUGAUUGAAGGAAGGAGCCUGCAGGCCUUCACAAGAGGAGUUCCUUUUGGAACCAAAGGCAAUAAAACUCUUAGACUGCCAAUAUCAGGAGCUUGGUUUCAACAACCUGAGAUGCGAUGUGCAUGUGUCUGUUGCCUUAGCCUUUACCUUGAUGUCUUUCCAAAAUGUGUUCUCUGGAGAUACCAAAGGAAUGCACGUGUGUAAGAAUGAAAGGCA
rnacentral:lncRNA from 1 species